rnacentral:rRNA from 1 species
AUUGAACGCUGGCGGCAGGCCUAACACAUGCAAGUCGAGCGAGCGGCGGACGGGUGAGUAAUGUCUGGGAACCUGCCUGAUGGAGGGGGAUAACUACUGGAAACGGUAGCUAAUACCGCAUACCAUCAGAUGUGCCCCGAGGGGAUUAGCUAGUAGGGGGGGUAAUGGCUCACCUAGGCGACGAUCCCUAGCUGGUCUGCGCGGAUGACCAGCCACACGGGAACUGAGACACGGUCCAGACACAUACGGGAGGAAGCAGGGGGGAAUAUUGCACAAUGGGCGCAGGCCUAGUGCAGCCAUGCCGCGGAGGUGAAGAAGGCCUUCGGUUUGUAAAGCACUUUCAGCGGGGAGGCGUUACCCGCAGAAGAAGCACCGGCUAACUCCGUGCCAGCAGCCGCGGUAAUAC